GGCCAUUUGUUUGAUCUAAAUUUUGAAUAUACAUUAUUUUCAUUCUAAUAACAAUCACAAAAAAAGAAAAAAUUGAAAACACAAACUACAAAGUAUUUUUUAGCCCAAUUAACAUAAGCCGUUCAUUUUGGUGAGAUACUUCGAUCUAGGUCUUAGAAUUUCAUUUCCAAUUUUUUUGGAUGACUAUAUUAUCAUUAGAUGAACAACGUUAAAAAAAGAAAAAAAAAAUGAUUUUGACUUUAUAAAGGCUAAGAUCUUGAAAUUCACAAAAUGAAUAAUCUAAAUUCGUUUUUGAAGGGGACUCAUUUAACCAUAUCUAGGGUUCAAAUUGAACAUUUUUUUUUUGGAGAUUGAUUAUUGAGAUAAAGAGAGUGUGUAUGCAAAAUUUGGGGUCAUACAAAUACCGCAAACAUGGUUUUCUAGAAGUGUUGUUUCAUUAUACUAUGAUACAACUGUUG
rnacentral:lncRNA from 1 species